rnacentral:ncRNA from 1 species
GUCACUCUGGAGAAUCUCAUUUUUGUGUGAGUACCGAAGGUGCAAAGCGGCCUGUACGCCGCCGAAACUCUCAGGUCAAAGGACAGGGU